rnacentral:tRNA from 1 species
GGAGAGAUAGCUCAGUGGUUAAGAGCACUGGGCUGUUCUUCCAGAAGACCGGGGUUCAAUUCCCAGCACCC